CCCGCCGGACCUGACUGCUAUCGGAUUGAUACUAAGCCAUGCGAGUCUUUGCAGUAAUGCAAGGCAUACGGCUCAGUAACACGUAGUCAACCUACCCUAUGGACGAGAAUAAUCUCGGGAAACUGAGCAUAAUUCUUGAUAGAUCAUAAUGCCUGGAAUGGUUUAUGGUUAAAAUGAUUCGUCGCCAUAGGAUGGGACUGCGGCCUAUCAGCUUGUUGGUGAGGUAAUGGCCCACCAAGGCGAUUACAGGUACGGGCUCUGAGAGGAGAAGCCCGGAGAUGGGUACUGAGACACGGACCCAGGCCCUAUGGGGCGCAGCAGGCGAGAAAACUUUGCAAUGUGCGAAAGCACGACAAGGUUAAUCCGAGUGAUUUCUGCUAAAGAAAUCUUUUGUCAGUCAUAAAACCACUGACGAAUAAGGGGUGGGCAAGUUCUGGUGUCAGCCGCCGCGGUAAAACCAGCACCUCAAGUGGUCAGGAUGAUUAUUGGGCCUAAAGCAUCCGUAGCCGGCUUUGUAAGUUUUCGGUUAAAUCCAUGUGCUCAACGCAUGGGCUGCCGAAAAUACUGCAUGGCUAGGGAGUGGGAGAGGUAGACGGUACUCAGUAGGAAGGGGUAAAAUCCUUUGAUCUAUUGAUGACCACCUGUGGCGAAGGCGGUCUACCAGAACACGUUCGACGGUGAGGGAUGAAAGCUGGGGGAGCAAACCGGAUUAGAUACCCGGGUAGUCCCAGCUGUAAACGAUGCAGACUCGAUGAUGCAUUGGCAUAAUAGCCAGUGCAGUGUCGCAGGGAAGCCGUUAAGUCUGCCGCCUGGGAAGUACGUACGCAAGUAUGAAACUUAAAGGAAUUGGCGGGGGAGCACCACAAGGGGUGAAGCCUGCGGUUCAAU
rnacentral:rRNA from 1 species